UGGGGAAUUUUGGACAAUGGGCGAAAGCCUGAUCCAGCAAUGCCGCGUGUGUGAAGAAGGCCUUCGGGUUGUAAAGCACUUUUGUCCGGAAAGAAAUCCUUGGCUCUAAUACAGUCGGGGGAUGACGGUACCGGAAGAAUAAGCACCGGCUAACUACGUGCCAGCAGCCGCGGUAAUACGUAGGGUGCAAGCGUUAAUCGGAAUUACUGGGCGUAAAGCGUGCGCAGGCGGUUUGCUAAGACCGAUGUGAAAUCCCCGGGCUCAACCUGGGAACUGCAUUGGUGACUGGCAGGCUAGAGUAUGGCAGAGGGGGGUAGAAUUCCACGUGUAGCAGUGAAAUGCGUAGAGAUGUGGAGGAAUACCGAUGGCGAAGGCAGCCCCCUGGGCCAAAUACUGACGCUCAUGCACGAAAGCGUGGGGAGCAAACAGGAUUAGAUACCCUGGUAGUCCACGCCCUAAACGAUGUCAACUAGUUGUUGGGGAUUCAUUUCCUUAGUAACGUAGCUGACGCGUGAAGUUGACCGCCUGGGGAGUACGGUCGCAAGAUUAAAACUCAAAGGAAUUGACGGGGUCAUAGCUGUUUCCU
rnacentral:rRNA from 1 species